GCCGGCGUGGCGAAAUUGGUAGACGCAGUAGACUCAAAAUCUACCGGGGGCAACCCUGUAUCGGUUCAAAUCCGAUCGCCGGUA
rnacentral:tRNA from 1 species